CCACUAAGGAAGGGUCUCUUGCUGGAGUUCUCUCCUUUGUGGAGUUUUUUUUCUGUGAGCUUAGAUCUUUGGAGACGGAUGAGCAUUCUUUUUCUUUUUUUGUAACAUCUUCUCAUUGCACUGGUCCUUUUGCAUUGUGUCUUCAUAACAUUUUAGUUGACUAUGUAUAUUAAAUAGUUUCUGAGCUGUCAUCAUUAAUUAAAAAAAAUCUACAACGAGUCAACUAAGCCGACAGAAAUAUAACUUCAAAAAUUCUUCCGGACGGUUCUUCUUUUUUACUAUGUGACAACACCUCUAGUGAAUUGAGCAAAACUGUUGAAUGGAUCCACCUGCUGUUUGAACAAAAAAGACAGAUAAAGGACAUGAUACCUAUGCCUUCUUACAGUCAAUGCAGGAGGUGUCUGAUCUAUGAAACAACCUGUGUGAAGGUUGUGUGUAAAGCAGUGCUACCACCACAAACUUGGCCAAGAUGUCUUUCUUCUGAGAACCAGGGCCCAUGUGUGGAAGUUGUACGUCUCUAAAGAGCACAGGUUGUCUGAAUGUCUAACGCGUCUGUAAAAUCCCUGUGCAGUUACAGAAUCAAAUGGAAAUUUAACACUUCACUGAUAGAUGGAUUGGUCUCCUGCUGCUUGGCCCUUAGCUUAAGAUCAAUUUGGAAUCAGUUUUGUGCAAAACUUCAAAUACAUACUUCAUGGAGGACAAAAA